CCUACGGGUGGCUGCAGUCGAGAAUCAUUCACAAUGGGGGAAACCCUGAUGGUGCGACGCCGCGUGGGGGAAUGAAGGUCUUCGGAUUGUAAACCCCUGUCAUGUGGGAGCAAAUUAAAAAGAUAGUACCUAUAAAGGAAGCACCGGCUAACUCCGUGCCAGCAGCCGCGGUAAUACGGGGGGUGCAAGCGUUGUCCGGAAUCAUUGGGCGUAAAGCGUUCGUAGGCGGCAAGGUAAGUCUGAUGUUGAAGCCCGGGGCUCAACUCCGGUUCGGCAUUGGAUACUAUCUAGCUAGAAUGUGGUAGAGGUAAAGGGAAUUCCUGGUGUAGCGGUGAAAUGCGUAGAUAUCAGGAGGAACAUCGGUGGCGAAAGCGCUUUACUGGACCAUUAUUGACGCUGAGGAACGAAAGCCAGGGGAGCAAAUGGGAUUAGAUACCCUGGUAGUC
rnacentral:rRNA from 1 species